UACGGAGGGUGCAAGCGUUAUCCGGAUUUACUGGGUUUAAAGGGUGCGUAGGCGGGUUUAUAAGUCAGUGGUGAAAGCCCGGAGCUCAACUCCGGAACUGCCAUUGAUACUAUUUACCUUGAGUACAGUUGAGGUGGGCGGAAUGCAGCAUGUAGCGGUGAAAUGCAUAGAUAUGCUGCAGAACACCAAUUGCGAAGGCAGCUCGCUAAACUGUAACUGACGCUGAGGCACGAAAGCGUGGGGAGCGAACAGG
rnacentral:rRNA from 1 species